UGGACUUUUGCAAGGAGGUGGGCAAGUAGCCUGAGUUGGGAGAUGACAAGCUAGACGCAUGAGGACAGUGGUCUGUGGUAUCAUGGGUGCAGCUUUCCCUGGAGGCACGUAGCUGGGCUGGAUAGCUUCUUGAAACCUACACUUGCCCUCUGGUUUGGUAAACUCCAUUCCAAAAUGAGCCUUGUGCCGUCCACCACUGUGAUCGGCCUCGUGUGGACUUCGGGUAGCUCUUUAAUUACGACUUCAAGUUCUCAAGCCGGAAAUGCUUCCUGGCUGCUGUGCUUGCCUUUUCUGCAUGAACUGUAGCACCGGCAAUGACUACAGAAGUCAGGGGACGAGGAGCUUCUAACAUUUUGCCACUAAAUAAAAGGAACACGUUCAAUUACACAGCAUGUGAUUGUACCCGUUCCCUGGGGCAGGCUGCUCUCCUCUGGAGAGCCUUCGACCCCCCUUCUGCUGGAGACAGCUACAAUUCACCUGAAGUGGUGUCAGCAGAACUCUUUACCCAGCGCUGGAUAAUACUUCCUCCUUUUAGCGUUAAAAGAUCAUAUCCUUCUGCAGUUCUUGGAAGUUACCUGGAUUUUAUGGAUGGAUAG
rnacentral:lncRNA from 1 species